UCGAAUCGAGAUAAAAUUAUCCAAUAGCCUGGGCGUGAGUGACAUGUGAAUCCAGAAUAUUUCACCAGCCGAACAUGAAUUCUCCGUCGGGGCAAUCACGGCAGCACCUCCCUGCACCGCGUAAUCGCGGGAAGUUCCAAUCGGAGGCGGAGAGAUUGAGCGCCGACGUUGGAGGACUGGAAGAUUCAUUGUUUCAGAUGGUAAAUGAUCACCAGUACGCCUCUCUCAAGCUCCGAGAGAACUCCGAGAAGGCGAAGAAAGAUGCUAUUCAGAAGGCGGUGCGCGUUUCGGAUCUGUUAGUCGAUGCCGUGAAUGGUGGAGUUCAGGAAUCUUUUGUCAAUCAGAAGUUGAUUGAGCUUGAAAUUAGGGCUUUAUCGACCACGAUUACCCGAUUUAUGAAGCAGACCGAUCAAUGGCUCGCCGCCACUCACGCUCUGAACACUGCUGUUAAGGAAAUUGGAGAUUUUGAGAACUGGAUAAAGACCAUAGAUUUCGAUUGUAAGAGCAUCACUACUGCCAUCCAUAACAUUUACCAAGACUGAAGUACUCGUCGCGAAAGAGUUAACCGUCCUUUCCUUCACCGAACUCAUUCCGGUUUCUGAGUUUGGUUCUUCACUUGGGAAGCAUCAAAUUCCAUUGCUUUUGGGUGAUGAUGGAUAUGAAGAAAUGCAUGAAAAUGAUAAUGGUCGAAACAGGUGAGCCCUUUCUUGCUUUUAACCGAAAGCAUACAUUGAGUUGGAACUGUUUUAUCUAAUACUAGUAUGCGCGGCAAGUACUUCUGCCUCAUCCUGUUCCUGAACGGGAGGUACGCUUGUCCCCUUGUUACAUUGCCUUUUUCUAUCCUUAUGGUAUGAGACAUCAAGCUGCAUCGCCUUCUCUUUGAUAAUAAGGGAGAAAAGGUUUUAAUGCACCUAGACGUCUAAGUGCCCCUUUUUUUGAGGGGAGCCGGUCAGGUGUGGUAGAGGGCGAACAAAGGAUAGUGUGCUUGUGUUGAAAGCGAGCAAGCGGGUGAACAAAUCAUCAACCAAACGGGCCACUUGGUAACUAGGAGCAGCCGCAGCAGCCCCGAAGGUCGAAACAGGCCCUCUGCUGGUUGAGUUGAGGGUGAAGCAGGCUCCGGUCAAAGUCCGUGGUUUUGACCAAGAUGAAAAUGAUUAAGAAAAUAAAAUUGGAAAAAUUUCUUGUUCCACGCGGUCCAAUUCCAAUUUCCACGCUAGAGUUGAGGAGGAUCCCACCGACGGCCGUCCCAGACUGCCGGAGAGUACGGCGCCGCCCAUUUCAUCUAAGUUCAGUUCGACU